CUUGUUGUAUCAAACACUCUGUCAAAUUUUCAAUUUUCAGUCUUUCCCUCCACAAAUUUUACUUUUAUAUCGACUCGUAUUUAAGGGAACUCAACACUCUCUCUCUUCCUCAGCCGCAAGCCCAAUUCUCUCUUCUUUCUCCCUUCCACUUCUCUCUGGCCUCGCAGGAGACCACUAUUUCCAGCCACCAGUUCACGACAUCACCACCACCAAUCAUUUCAGGAACCAAUUCCGAUCAAAACCCAACGAGAUCACUAUCAUCCACACAGCCGCCAGCCUCCUCACACGACCAUCAAAGUCGAGACGGCGCUGGUCCCUAUCUCUCAUCGAGUUCCAGCUGUUUCCUCAACACACCUCCACCAUUAUUGUGCUAAGAGGAAGUCAGACAUCAAAAUCCAGAAGCCUCGCCGGUGACUCACUCUUGGAGGACCACGCACGGGCCAUCGCCGGAACCCGAGACUCUGGGUUUCUCUGGUCUUCCUUCUCCAAAUCGAAUCAAGCUCUAAUACCUACAUUAGAGUGUCGAAACUAGAGGCUUUGACGCGAUACUGUGGUAUUUGUCAUCGAAAGAAAUUCCGAAGAAAGGAAAACAAUAGAAGCUCUUGCGUUGUUGGGAUCGGGGGAAGAGAAGAAGAGGUUUUUCAUCGAAGGUGAUGUUUUAUUGAUGUCUGUGGUUUUGAAUCGGUGGAUUUUGCUGUGGUUGGGUUUCGAUUGAUCUUGCUUUUUAUGUUUUGUUGAGGUUUUAUGCAAAGGAGUAUUUGGGUUGUUCUUUUGCCGGUGUUCCUGGUUUGGUUAGUUGGUGUUACUUGGUUGUGCUGCUGUGAAUCAGCAUAACGUCCAAUUGCAGCAAAAAUAUGGUUAAUUAAACUUCAACUCUUUAUCUGCAUUCAAUUUUCAAUCGACAUUGUUUAGCUCUGCUUAAUCAAAUCGUUAAAGUAUAGUAAUUUCUGAUUCUUUGCUUGCUCUGUACAGAGAGCGAGACAGAGAGAUGUGCUGCUAAUGUAGAAGUAAGUGCUACUUGGUCCCUAUCAGUUUCUACUAUGUUUGAAACAAGGAGAAGUCCUUUGAGUUCAUAUUGAUGAUUCAACAUGAUCUUUUUUUUUAUCAUAACCUGAUAUAUAAUAGGUGAACUAUAUGCUCAGGCAUUUUUAAGAAAAGGAGAGCCACAUCUAGUGGAACCUGUAAUUGAUAGCAGCAGGUUUGUCCUAUUUUUCCAUAAAAUUGUACAAUCUAUAUGUGUCUUGUGAGGUUUAUAUAUCAGUCGACUACAAUACUCACGUAGAUUGAAUUUAUCGAGUCUUAUAACUUAUGUGAAUUUUAUUUUAUCAUUCUGAGGGUGUUGGCAAGUUGAUGUAUGUUUUGUUCUGCAGAUACUUUGUUCUUCGUGUAGAGGAGAACAUUAGAGAGCUGCUGGCCUCUUUUAAAAUCUCUUUUAUAAUGAAUUCUAUUAGCCACGUAUAUAAAGUUGCUUUUGAUUCUUUUUCUUAUCCAUUUUUAACUUGCAAGGCUCUGAAACUUUUAUAGAUGCCUGUUAGUGAGACAACUAAAAUUUCAAAGCCCUUAAUCUGGGCAUGUUGGUUCAGUAUCAUAGAUGGGAGCUGUCUACCUCUGAAAAAUGUUGUAUUUGUUACUCUGAAUUCAUAGAUAUUGUUACUAUAACAUUGUCAUCUUAUCAAAGAAAAACAAAAAUAGGAUAAGAAAAGAUGAAAAUGGAAGAUAACUAUCCUAUGUGAUCUCUGCAUUUUCCUACAGAUGGUUUCUGCAGGAUAGAAAGUAGGAUAUCCCUAGAAGGCCAGGCUACACUGAUAAGGUGAAGUUAGUGCCUAGAUACAAAUGUGAUGGACAUUAGAGAAUAUGCAGGAUUUCAAUUAAUUGUCUUAUAUACUGGAACAUAUUUUUAACUUGUGCUUAUCAGUGCGCCACCAUGUGGUGAUAUAAACCAAAGACCUAUAUGCCCUACAGUUUUUGCAGAGUAAUGAUGUCACCAUUUAGUAUCAGGUCCUUUAUUUUUUAUUUCUGUUUUGGUGACAAAUUUCUUUAUGCUUCUUUGCAAAUGCCAGGUUUAUUCAAAAGAUUCUGUAUAACUAAAUGGGAGGAGGAAUUCCCCAUCAGGCAAAUAGUUGUUACAAGGGUCACUUCAUAUCACUAUCCUAUUCCACUGGAUUCAAACCAGCUAUAAGGAUCUUGCCGUGGUAUACUAGAAGAGACUUUCCAUGUAGGGUGAAAAGGGUGCUUAUCUAACUUCCAUCAUUCAUACAUACAUAAAGGAGAGGCAUCAAGGCACAAUCACUUUUGGAGUAAAAUCAAGAUCGAGACAAGGGGGAGUGACAACGAAAGUAUGGACUGUUGUUGAUGCAGCUUCUGCUGGCAUCCUUGUUGUCCUCACAGGGUGUUCUUCAAGACUUGGUUGGUUUCAACAUUUAAUUUAGAAAACUAGUUCUGUUAAUGGAAUGACUUUGUUGGAUAUAUGGAUGAAUGUAUCAGAUAUUUACAUAAAUGAAUGUGUUUUGGAUGUGAUGUCAUUUUGAUUC